rfam:Triticum urartu cultivar G1812 contig915670, whole genome shotgun sequence.
AACAUACUCCCUCCGUCCCAAAAUUCUUGUCUUAGAUUUGUCUAGAUACGGAUGUAUCUAACACUAAAAUGUAACUAGAUACAUCCGUAUUUAGACAAAUUUAAGACAAGAAUUUUGGGACGGAGGGAGUAUUAA